rnacentral:piRNA from 1 species
UACUCCCGGCAGGGACUGAGGAC